UGGGGAAUUUUGGACAAUGGGGGAAACCCUGAUCCAGCCAUCCCGCGUGUGCGAUGAAGGCCUUCGGGUUGUAAAGCACUUUUGGCAGGAAAGAAACGUCAUGGGUUAAUACCCCGUGAAACUGACGGUACCUGCAGAAUAAGCACCGGCUAACUACGUGCCAGCAGCCGCGGUAAUACGUAGGGUGCAAGCGUUAAUCGGAAUUACUGGGCGUAAAGCGUGCGCAGGCGGUUCGGAAAGAAAGAUGUGAAAUCCCAGAGCUCAACUUUGGAACUGCAUUUUUAACUACCGGGCUAGAGUGUGUCGGAGGGAGGUGGAAUUCCGCGUGUAGCAGUGAAAUGCGUAGAUAUGCGGAGGAACACCGAUGGCGAAGGCAGACUCCUGGGAUAACACUGACGCUCAUGGACGAAAGCGUGGGGAGCAAACAGG
rnacentral:rRNA from 1 species